rnacentral:rRNA from 1 species
CCCUUAGAUGUUCUGGGCCGCACGCGCGCUACAAUGGUCUUCGCAAACGGAUGCAUUCUCGAAGGAGAAUGCCAAUCUUGGAACCUAUGCCUUGGUCGGGACAGUUGCUUGCAAUUUUUCGACUCGAACCAGGAAUUCCUUGUAAUCGUGAUUCAUCACAUCACGAUGAAUACGUCCCUGCCCUUUGUACACACCGCCCGUCGCUCCUACCGAUCGAAGAGUUAGGUGAAUUGUUUUGAUCGAUAAGAUUUGACUAUGGUCAACUCUCGUUGUGAAAUUCUGUGAAUCUGACUGUUUAGAGGAAGGAAAAGUCGUAACA